GCUUACGGCCAUACCAGCCUGGCUAUGCCCGAUCUCGUCUGAUCUCGGAAGCUAAGCAGGUUUGAGCCUGGUUAGUACUUGGAUGGGAGACCGCCUGGGAAUACCAGGUGCUGUAAGCA
rnacentral:rRNA from 1 species